ensembl:lncRNA
GGGGAUUUUCGAAGAGAAAACACGUGUUUUCCACAUAAAUGGGGGAUUUGCGAAGAGAAAACGCGUGUUUUUCGCAUAAAUGGGGGAUUUGCAAAUUGAAAAUGCGUGAUUUUCAAGUUAAAUGGGGGAUUUGCAAAGAGAAAACGCGUGAUUUUCGGGUUAAAUGGAAGAUUCCUGAAGAGAAAACGCGUGAUUUUCAAGUUAAAUGGGGGAUUUGCAAAGAGAAAACGUGUGAUUUUCGCUUAAAUGGUGUAUUUGAGACGAGAAAAUUCGUGAUUUUCGCAUAAAUGGGGGAUUCUCGAAGAGAAAACGCUUGAUUUUCACUUAAAUUGACGAUUCUCAAAGAGAAAACGCGAGAUUUCCACUUAAAUGGGGGUUUUGCGAUGGGAAAACGUGUGAUUUCUGGUUAAAUGGGGGAUUUCUGAAGAGAAAACUCGUGGUUUUUU